GGGCGGAUGUGCAAUCUUCACCUGUUUAUUCGGUAGAGGGUGCCAUCUUCAGGUAGCCCUUCACGUUGUACAGAAAACAAUGGAGACUUCUCCUCCUGGGGCAGAUGUUGCACAUGAGGCAAGUAAGGCACUGGUCUCAUAUGCAACUGGUGACCAGACAUCUCCAGCAGAAUGACCCAUGGCCCAUGGGCACCUCAAACUCAACAUGUCAGAAAGUGAAUUCUGUCAGGUGUGGUGGCUAACAUCUGUAAUCCCAGCACUUUGGGAGGCCGAGGCAGGCAGAUCACUUGAGGUCAAGAAUUCAAGACCAGCCUGGCCAACAUGAGUCUGGCUGGAGUGCAAUGACACGAUCUCAGCUCACUGCAAUCUCUGCCUCCUGGGUUCAAGUGAUUCUCCUGCCUCAGCCUCCCGAGUAGCUGGGACUACGGUUUCACACUGUCACCCCGGCUGGAAUGCAAUGGUGCAAUCUCAGCUCACUGCAACCUCUGCCUACUGGGUUCAAGCUAUUCUCCUGCCUCAGCCUCCUGAGUAGCUGGGAUUACAGGCGUGCGCCACCACACCCAGCUAAUUUUUUUUUAUUUUUAGUAGAGACAGGGUUUC
rnacentral:antisense_RNA from 1 species